AUUGAACGCUGGCGGCAGGCUUAACACAUGCAAGUCGAGCGGAGAGAGGUAGCUUGCUACUGAUCUUAGCGGCGGACGGGUGAGUAAUGCUUAGGAAUCUGCCUAUUAGUGGGGGACAGCAUUUCGAAAGGAAUGCUAAUACCGCAUACGUCCUACGGGAGAAAGAGUAAGGCUGCCCGCAAGGGUGGCGCUAAAGGAGGGGCCUGCGUCCGAUUAGCUAGUUGGUGAGGUAAUGGCUCACCAAGGCGAGGAUCGGUAACUGGUCUGAGAGGACGACCAGUCACACUGGGACUGAGACACGGCCCAGACUCCUACGGGAGGCAGCAGUGGGGAAUAUUGGACAAUGGGGGCAACCCUGAUCCAGCGAUGCCGCGUGGGUGAAGAAGGCCUUCGGGUUGUAAAGCCCUUUAGGUCGGGAAGAAGUGUGGUGGAUGAAUAAUCCAUCAUGUUGACGGUACCGACAGAAUAAGCACCGGCAAACUCUGUGCCAGCCGCCGCAGUAAGAC
rnacentral:rRNA from 1 species